AUUGUAUAGGAAAAAAAUCUGAGUUCUGACUUUAGCAGAUGAUCCCAGGAAGAAUUGUUCAGAGCACCAUAGAGCCUUCACUGCUUUUUCUGAACCCCUAGUUAAAUAAAUGGUUUUGCCUCUGUUUCUCCAAUGGGUCACUGUGGUCUUUUAGGUUGAACUUUGCAUAUGACAUCCAGAAAAGGGAGAAGGGAAAGAGCUGUUUUCCCUGCAUAUUAACAUGUUUUGGGGUCAUUCAUCCUAUAUAUGAGUGGUCCCCUCAUUGGGGUUUGAAGUAGAUCCAUUUUCAUAUGUCACUCUCUCCUUCAUGCCUUCUUCAGUUCAGUGUGAAGAUUUUCCCUUAGAUGUGUCACUGAAUGAUGCCAUUGGAAGCAUAGCUUCUGUUGAUAAGCGUGGGACCAUCUGCUUGGCACAUCUCAAAUAUUUUCAGUCGUGGGAGAGCAGCCCUUAAUUUCAGUAGAGGAAAGAGGCUCCAGCCACACUUCAAGGAGAGGCUGAGGUUGGAGAUCCUACGACCAAGGGGUGGGGGAGCAGAAGAGAUCUGUAUCCUCUGGAUGGAUGCCCCAGAAUGCUGAAGAGGAUCCUUCCCAUGGGCAUCUCUGUACCCUCCCAUGAGGAUAAUAGUAAGUCUCUGUUCCUAUUUUAAUUACUCAGUUUUGUUUUGUUUUGUUUUUUCAACCAGAGAAAGAAGAAAAACUAUCACUCAGAGAACUGCUUCUGUGCCGGUCACUCUCUGUCAUGUAUUAGAUGUCUGCUUGUUGGAGCCACCAAAGACUGUAUGAAAGAGGCAGAGGAGGUUGCCAGGAAGGAGCUAUGGAAGUCAGCAAAUAAACCAACAGCUUUCCCUCCA
rnacentral:lncRNA from 1 species